rnacentral:tRNA from 1 species
GGCUGGAGAGAUGCUCAGAGGUUAAGAGCACUGACUGCUGUUCCAGAGGUCCUGAGUUCAAAUCCCAGCAACCA